rnacentral:rRNA from 1 species
UGGCGGCCNUAGCGCGGUGGUCCCACCUGACCCCAUGCCGAACUCAGAAGUGAAACGCCGUAGCGCCGAUGGUAGUGUGGGGUCUCCCCAUGCGAGAGUAGGGAACUGCCAGGCA